UACAGAGACUGCAAGCGUUAUUCGGAUUCACUGGGCGUAAAGGGUGCGCAGGCGGUUGGGUGUGUCAGAUGUGAAACCCCGAGGCUUAACCUCGGAACUGCGUCUGAAACUACUCGACUAGAGUACUGGAGAGGGAAACGGAAUUCACGGUGUAGCAGUGAAAUGCGUAGAUAUCGUGAGGAACACCAGAGGCGAAGGCGGUUUCCUGGACAGUUACUGACGCUCAGGCACGAAAGCAUGGGGAGCAAAAGGG
rnacentral:rRNA from 1 species